UGUGUCAGCCUAUUCCGUCCACGUGCUACAGCGUGACUGCAACAUCGUAAAUGAACUGGCAUCCCUAGUUUGGUCCUCUAUUUGUACAUAAGUGGUGAAUCCUUAUGAAUCAGAUACCCUAUAUUAUCCAUGUCACGGUACAUUGUUAAACAUCAAUGUUUCGUGAACAUUGCAGUUCACUUCAUUGCAGUUCAUCAGGGCGAGGAACAAUUUAUCAAGUUAGAAGCAUGGAAAUCUUAAAAGUGCAUAAAAUCGCCGAUUCACCUUUUCGCACAAUUUUCUCGUGUAUGAAGUGGAGGAAUACGUCAAGAAGCGAUUGCCAGGAAGAGCAUAUGGUAUAGCGCACGCAACACGUCCAUGUAAGGAAAUAUAAAGAACUCCCUUGUAUCGAAUCCAGUAUUCGGAUCGAAAGAAGAUAUGCUAAAUAGAGAGAGAGAAAUCUGCAAAAUCGCAUUACAGAAGGUACAAAUCGCGUAAAUCGCUCGAAUAAGUAAGUAAAAAUAGGGAAUGAUAACAUGAUUCUCAAUACUUAUUUAAUAAUUAAAUAAAAUUGCAUUUUAGAACUUAAUAAAUAGAUC